UUAUAAGAGACAGCAGCCGCCGCGGUAAUACAGAGGGUGCGAGCGUUAAUCGGAUUUACUGGGCGUAAAGCGUGCGUAGGCGGCUUCUUAAGUCGGAUGUGAAAUCCCUGAGCUUAACUUAGGAAUUGCAUUCGAUACUGGGAAGCUAGAGUAUGGGAGAGGAUGGUAGAAUUCCAGGUGUAGCGGUGAAAUGCGUAGAGAUCUGGAGGAAUACCGAUGGCGAAGGCAGCCAUCUGGCCUAAUACUGACGCUGAGGUACGAAAGCAUGGGGAGCAAACAGGAUUAGAUACCCCCGUAGUCCCUGUCUCUUAUAC
rnacentral:rRNA from 1 species